ACCAGACUCCUACGGGAGGCAGCAGUGGGGAAUAUUGGACAAUGGGGGGAACCCUGAUCCAGCGACGCCGCGUGAGUGAAGAAGUAUUUCGGUAUGUAAAGCUCUCUCAGCAGGGAAGAAAGAAAUGACGGUACCUGACUAAGAAGCCCCGGCUAACUACGUGCCAGCAGCCGCGGUAAUACGUAGGGGGCAAGCGUUAUCCGGAUUUACUGGGUGUAAAGGGAGCGUAGACGGCAUGGCAAGUCAGAUGUGAAAGCCCGGGGCUCAACCCCGGGACUGCAUUUGAAACUGUCAGGCUGGAGUGCAGGAGAGGUAAGUGGAAUUCCUAGUGUAGCGGUGAAAUGCGUAGAUAUUAGGAGGAACACCAGUGGCGAAGGCGGCUUACUGGACUGUAACUGACGUUGAGGCUCGAAAGCGUGGGGAGCAAACAGGAUUAGAUACCCUGGUAC
rnacentral:rRNA from 1 species